CUAACCCUACCCCUAACCCUACCCCUAACCCUACCCAUAACCAUACUCCUAACCCUAGAUGUGUAAGUGGUUGUGGUAGUUAGGGGUAGGGUUAGGAGGUAGGGUUAG